GUUUCCGUAGUGUAGUGGGUAUCAUGUUCGCCUAUCACGUGAAAGGUCCCUCCCUGGUUUGAAACCGGGUGGAAACA
rnacentral:tRNA from 1 species